AGAACGAACGCUGGCGGCGUGCUUAACACAUGCAAGUCGAACGCGAAAGUUUUCUUCGGAAAGCGAGUAGAGUGGCGCACGGGUGAGUAACGCGUAAAUAAUCUACCCUUGCAUCUGGGAUAACCCACCGAAAGGUGUGCUAAUACCGGAUACGUUCUUUUAACCGCGAGGUUUUAAGAAGAAAGGUGGCCUCUGAUAUAAGCUACUGUGCAGGGAGGAGUUUGCGUACCAUUAGCUAGUUGGUAGGGUAGUGGCCUACCAAGGCAACGAUGGUUAGCGGGUCUGAGAGGACGAUCCGCCACACUGGAACUGGAACACGGACCAGACUCCUACGGGAGGCAGCAGUGAGGAAUAUUGCGCAAUGGGGGAAACCCUGACGCAGCGACGCCGCGUGGAUGAUGAAGGCCUUCGGGUCGUAAAAUCCUGUCAGAUGGAAAGAAGUGUAUAUGUGUUAAUAUCACAUAUAUUUGACGGUACCAUCAAAGGAAGCACCGGCUAACUCCGUGCCAGCAGCCGCGGUAAUACGGAGGGUGCAAGCGUUGUUCGGAAUUACUGGGCGUAAAGCGCGCGUAGGUGGUCUGUUAUGUCAGAUGUGAAAGUCCACGGCUCAACCGUGGAAGUGCAUUUGAAACUGGCAGACUUGAGUACUGGAGGGGGUAGUGGAAUUCCCGGUGUAGAGGUGAAAUUCGUAGAUAUCGGGAGGAAUACCGGUGGCGAANGCGACUACCUGGCCAGAUACUGACACUGANGUGCGAAAGCGUGGGGAGCGAACAGGAUUAGAUACCCUGGUAGUCCACGCCGUAAACGAUGUCAACUAGGUGUUGGGAUGGUUAAUCGUCUCAUUGCCGUAGCUAACGCAUUAAGUU
rnacentral:rRNA from 1 species